GAUGAACGCUGGCGGCGUGCUUAACACAUGCAAGUCGAACGAAGACGUCUGAGUGCUUGCACUUGGAUGGACUGAGUGGCGGACGGGUGAGUAACGCGUGGGUAACCUGCCUUAUACAGGGGGAUAACAGUUGGAAACGACUGCUAAUACCGCAUAAGCGCACAGUAUCGCAUGAUACAGUGUGAAAAACUCCGGUGGUAUAAGAUGGACCCGCGUCUGAUUAGCUAGUUGGUGAGGUAACGGCCCACAAAGGCGACGAGCAGUAGCCGGCCUGAGAGGGUGAACGGCCACAUUGGGACUGAGACACGGCCCAAACUCCUACGGGAGGCAGCAGUGGGGAAUAUUGCACAAUGGGGGAAACCCUGAUGCAGCGACGCCGCGUGAGUGAGGAAGUAUUUCGGUAUGUAAAACUCUAUCAGCAGGGAAGAUAAUGACGGUACCUGACUAAGAAGCACCGGCUAAAUACGUGCCAGCCGCCGCAGUAAUAC
rnacentral:rRNA from 1 species